rnacentral:lncRNA from 10 species
UAUUCCCUAAUGCUCUUGGGAGAUGAAGAUUUUUUGGCAAGAUAGAAAGAAAAUCUGAGGUCAGCAAAGUCAGCAGACAUAGGAGACAGCCAUAAAUCUGGGUGACAAGGAUUACACAGAAGCACAUGCAUCUUUUGGGAAAGAGAUUGAUGAGAAGAAAUUCAGCUUUGAUUUAUUGGUAACAUAAGUGCCAGCACCUAGAGAAAUGACUAACAUAUUGUAGAUGU